rnacentral:rRNA from 1 species
AGAGUUUGAUCAUGGCUCAGAAUAAACGCUGGCGGCGUGCCUAACACAUGCAAGUCGAGCGAGAAAGGUCUUCGGACUGAGUAAAGCGGCGGACGGGUGAGUAACGCGUGGGAAUCUGCCCUUCAGUGAGGAAUACCUCCGAGAAAUCGGGGUUAAUACUGCAUACGUUCCGAAAGGAAGAAAGGUGGCCUCUUUGCUACCGCUGAAGGAUGAGCCUGCGUACUAUUAGCUAGUUGGUGAGGUAAUGGCUCACCAAGGCAGAGAUGGUUAGCCCGGCCUGAGAGGGUGUACGGCCACAUUGGAACUGAGACACGGUCCAGACUCCUACGGGAGGCAGCAGUGAGGAAUAUUGCGCAAUGGACGAAAGUCUGACGCAGCGACGCCGCGUGGAGGAUGAAGGUCUUCGGAUUGUAAACUUCUGUUAAGUGGGAAGAAAUGUGUGGCCCUAAUAUGGUCGCAAGAUGACGGUACCACUAGAGAAAGCACUGGCUAAUCUCGUG